rnacentral:tRNA from 1 species
UGGGCUAUCGCCAAGCGGUAAGGCACCAGACUUUGACUCUGGCAUUCUCAGGUUCAAAUCCUGAUAGCCCAA